UUUAGGUGAAAGUGCCUGUGCUCUCAUUAGCUCCAUGGGAAGGCUCCAGGAGGCUGACCUGAAUGACAUACAUCAGUGAACUCCUUUGGCCUCUGUCAGACCCACCAAAUCAGAAAAUCUUACACUCCUACAAGAAAUUCAUGGUAAGAUGAAAGAGCCACAUCUGGGGCUGGGCACCUGCAGGCACAGACCCAUUCACCUGCC
rnacentral:lncRNA from 1 species